rnacentral:rRNA from 1 species
GACGUAGGGGGCGAGCGUUGUCCGGAUUUAUUGGGCGUAAAGCGUGCGUAGGCGGCUGCGCAAGUCGGGUGUGAAACCCCGGGGCUCAACCCCGGAACUGCAUCCGAUACUGCGUGGCUAGAGGUAGGUAGGGGAGAUCGGAAUUCCUGGUGUAGCGGUGAAAUGCGCAGAUAUCAGGAGGAACACCGGUGGCGAAGGCGGCUUCCUGGACACUUACUGACGCUGAGACGCGAAAGCGUGGGGAGCAAACAGG